UUCCUAUUAGGUUCUGCCAGUAGGAGGCAUUGGUGGUGUUCAGAAGGCAGAAGAAACUAAGUAGCUUCCUGCUUCAACUUCAGACUCUAACAGGGUAACAAUUGCUGGCAAUUGCUGGUUGAUGUAGCAGCAGGAAGAAUGGGAGACUCUGGAUUUCAACCUCCUGGGCAGAAGAAGGUUGGAAUCUCAAUGAUUUUGGCCUUGAUGGAGGUGCCACUUCUUUAGUAGAUAAGAACUGACUAUGGCAGUGCCUCCCACAGGGCAGCAGCAGGUGUAGAUAUAUGGAUUACCAGUUCAGGAGUGAUGGCAGCUUCUGAUUUUCAGAGGCAGAGUCUUGCUCUGUCAUUCAGGCUGGACUGCACUGGCCUGAUCAUAGUUCACUGCAGCCUGCAACUCCUGGCCUCAAACAAUCUCUCACCUCAGCCUCCCAAAGUGCUGAGACUAUAGGCAUGCCACAACACCCAUCUUCACUCCCCAUUUUUAAUAUCUCUGUCAUCUGGACACAUAAGCAACCAGCACAACAUUCACAUGAACUGGUACAUAAGGGUCUCUAAAGAGGAGUUCUGGACGCCUUUGACUGUCACAUAUCUGCCUACCCCUUGCCCUGGAAUGCUUUCCUCAUCCCUCAUAUUCUGCUGGUCAAAUCGUUUUAACCUUCAAAACUCUUAGGAGCCUGCCUGAUUAUGUUCCACAUAUUUCUCCAUCCUAAUAAAAUCAUUGCUAUUUCCAAAACACUUGGCAUUCUUACUUGAAUACAUCUUAUUGUUGUGUAAUUAUUCAUUGAUUCCACCCCCUUCCUCAAACUCGAAGCUCUUUGAAGGCAGGAAUAUGCCUUAUUCAUCUUUCUAUUUCUAGCACUGGGCCCAAUAUCUAGCCCUUAUUAAAUCUCCAGUGUAUUUCUGCACAACAAAUUGGAGCUAAUGCCUGGAGGAGCA